GAGGAGGACUAGGAGGAGCAGGAGGAGGGGAGGCCUGCUGGGCGCGCGCAGGAGGCUCCCCGCCGGUCCCCGAAGCCUAAACUGCAAGAUUUGCUUCAGAUCAUGGAAGCUUGGGUUGAUGGAGUACUUGUCUUUAGUUUUUGUUUUGACUUUGUGAAACUUGCUACCUAUGAUGAAACUGUGUAAUAUUGAUGAAAC